CUUAGCUCUGUCCAGUGCACACUGAUGCCUAUUUAUUCCCACCAUGGACUCCUCCCUCUUCUUGGGAAAUGCUGGCACAUACAAGCUGUGCUGUGUGCUCAGACUGGAAAUGAGAAGAUAGAAGGAUUUCUGGCAGCCUAUAUAAAGGACAUGGAGGGAUACCUGCUUUCUUUGCCUGCUUUCUCUCGCUCUCACUGGCAAGUCCACUCCAUCAUUGGUAUCAGAGCUACUUCUUCAAGAUUCCAGCACAUACUGAAGACCAGGCCUCUAGCAGUCUUACAGGGCUGAUGGAAGCUCAGUGGACACUCAG